rnacentral:rRNA from 1 species
CCUACGGGAGGCUGCAGUGGGGAAUAUUGCACAAUGGGGGAAACCCUGAUGCAGCGACGCCGCGUGAGUGAAGAAGUAAUUCGUUAUGUAAAGCUCUAUCAGCAGGGAAGAAACAGACGGUACCUGUGUAAGAAGCCACGGCUAACUACGUGCCAGCAGCCGCGGGAACACGGAGGGGGCAAGCGUUAUCCGGAUUUACUGGGUGUAAAGGGGGCGUAGGCGGUGAAGAAAGUCUGAAGUGAAAGCCCGCGGCUUAACCGCGGAACUGCUGUGGAAACUUGUUUGCUGGAGUGCCGGAGAGGUAAGCGGAAUGCCUGGUGUAGCGGUGAAAUGCGUAGAUAUUAGAAGGAACACCGGUGGCGAAGGCAGCUUACUGAGCGGUAACUGACGUUGAGGCACGAAAGCGUGGGGAGCAAACAGGAUUAGAUACCCUAGUAGUC